rnacentral:rRNA from 1 species
AAUGAACGCUGGCGGCGCGCCUAAUACAUGCAAGUCGAGCGAGAAGACGUAGCAAUACGUUUGUAAAGCGGCGAACGGGUGAGGAAUACAUGGGUAACCUACCCUCGAGUGGGGAAUAACUAGCCGAAAGGUUAGCUAAUACCGCGUACGCUUCUUGGACUUCGGUUCAGGGAGGAAAGCGAUGCCGAGGGUAUCGCGCUCUUGGAUGGGCUCAUGUCCUAUCAGCUUGNGGUGAGGUAACGGCUCACCAAGGCUUCGACGGGUAGCUGGUCUGAGAGGACGAUCAGCCACACUGGCACUGCGACACGGG